rnacentral:lncRNA from 1 species
GGAAACGUAGAGAUGAAUAAAUAAGUCACAGGCCUUGGUCCCUUGGAGUUCACAGUCUAAUGGGGAAGACAGGAUAUAAGCAAGUAGUUUCAGCAUAGCUUUGGAAUUGCAUGCAGAGAAGUGAGUGAAGUGAGUGAGGGCCCAGCCAAGGCUGGAGUAAAGUGGCAUGAUCUCGGCUCACUGCAGCCUCCGCCCCCGCCAGGUUCAAGUGAUUCUCCUGCCUCAGCCUCCCGAGUAGCUGGGAUUACAGGCGCAGGCCACCAUGCCCAGUCAGAGAGAUCAAGGAAGGCUUCCCUAAGGAAGUGGUGCAGAGCUGAGAUCGGAAGAAGCAGGGAUGUUCUCCACAGAAAGAACAUGCUCAGAAGCCCAGUCAGCAGCAGGAAGGAGUGUGGUGAUUUUGAGGAACCGAAAGAAGACCAGCAUGGCUGGAGAACAGAGGAUGGGGGUGUGAUAUGUGACGAGCGAAGAGAAGUCACCCGUACUUCAUUUACCAGUCCUUGCUAAGGAUUAUUCAUUAAAACACACAACAGCAACAAUAACCACAAAAGCAACAAUAAAAAUACCUUUGAACUCACUCAAUCUUGAACUAUUGAACAUGCUAAGUCCGUGUCAUUGGCCUACUUAAUCAGCCCUCGAUUGUAACUUGAAGAAGCUUAUUGAUAAGAAAAUAAACUUCUCAUAAAGUAUAACUACUUUCUUA